AAAUCUAGCUAUAUGUCUGGUAAAUUUCAAAUUGUUAUGACAAAUGAAAGCUUUUCGCCGACUGUAAACUGUAAAAUUUUACCUAAAGUGAACUACUUAGUACUUAAUUUGACUGAUUUAAUUGAAAAUGCAUCAACUUUCACUUUAUGUACUACAUUUCUAACGCGAUUAAAGUGUCAUGUCUAGAUAAUUUUAUAGUAACCAUGUAAAGAAUACUGUUAAGUUUUUGAAAAAGCAUCAGUUUAUAUUGAAUUCUGUUUCAGCCGCGUUAACUUUAAUUUUUUUAGGCUGAAUAAAAUACAUUUGCGCAUCUGACAUUAGCGAUAGUUAGUUGUCAAAAGAAAUCGAAAUGUAUAUGUUAUUUCAAGAUAUCUUAUUUUAAGACAUUUUGUUCAGAAUGUCCUUUUUGGUUUAAAAAUAUGAAUUAUUAUAAUCAUUGUAGUACUAAAGCGCAUUUACAUUUCAGACAUUUGUGUGCCAGGAAUGCGGAAGGGCUUAUAAUUCCAAAAAAAGCCUUCUGCGCGACGAAAGAGGCCACAGAAAUCUUGGACCUUACAUGUCUAACUGCGGCGAGCGGUCUAUUCCGGACUACAUUUCUGUGCGGAAAGCUAUUCCAGACUGGCGGCCAUGACAGAUGUGGGUUGGAAAUCAUAAAGAGUGACUGAGUACUUUGAUAUGUAGCAAAGAAGUUCAUUGUUGAUGAUAGUGUUUCUUUAUGAUUUAUUGAAUACGAUCAGAAAUACAGAGCUCUCAAUGCUGUAAA